AUACUAGCCAUAGGUUCCAACAGUACAUUAAAAGGAUUAUUCUCCAAGACCAAGUGGGAUUUAUUCCUGGGCUGCAAGGGUGGUUCGACAUCUGCAAAUCAGUCAGUGUGAUACAUCACAUUGAUAAAAGAAAAGACAAGAACCACAUGAUCCUCUCAAUUGAUGCAAAACAACAAAAACAAAAAAACAUUGGACAAAAUAUAGCAUCUUUCCUGCUUGUUUAUUUUUGAUAUUUUUUGAUCGUUUCCUUUUUUCAUCUCACCAUCCAAAUUAGGCUAGUUUUUUAGGGAGAAAAGUCUCUUGCAUUCUAUAAUCAUUCAACAGAUCUUUAUGGAAACCUAACAGAUGCCAAGCAUAAAUAAGACAAAAGUCUAUCUGUCAGGAUGUCUGGUAUAUUAGAGAGAAGGCAAGGAGCAAAACUUAAAUGAUUAUGCAAAAGUAAUCAUACUUGUAAUUAUUUUUAUAAAGAAAAUAAAGAUGAUCUUGACAUAGGGAAUUUUGUAAAGAGUGAAAAAGUCUUUAAAAGAAUCAUGGGGGAAGCUCUCUGAGGUAAGGCCAGUUAAUUUCUUUUCCAAGACUAUAGGUUAUGAGGAAGCAACCAAUUGAAGAAGAUGGGACUUGCUUUCAGAAAGAGAAAAGUAAAAGCACCGAGGUGAGAAAGUCGCAAAGAGCUCUGGGGGCAGAUGAAAAUAGCCAACACCUGCUGAUGCACAGUAAAGGAAUGAUGGAGCAGAACUUCGAGUUUAGGAAACUAACUAAACUAAUGUUUAUAGCACCAAUGUCCACCAUAUCCAAAUUAUGGAAAGACCCCAGAUGAAUGGAUGAAGAAGAUGUGGUAUCUCCAUACAAUGGAAUACUACUCAGCAAUAAAAAAUGAAAUCUUUCCAUUUUGUAAUGAUGUGGAUUGAACUAGAGGAUGUUAUUCUAAGUGAAAUAAGUCAAUCAGAGAAAGACAAUUAUAUGAUCUCACUCAUGUGGAUUUUAAGUAACAAAACAGAAGAUCACAGGGGAAGAGAGGAAAAAAAUAAAACAAGAUGAAAUCAGAGAGGAAAACAAACCAUAAGUGACUCUUAAGCAUAGAAAACCUGAGAGUCACCGUAAGGGAGGGAGUGGGGGGAUGAGGUAACUGAGUGAUGAACAUUAAGGAGGGCACAUGAUGUAAUGAGCACUAGGUAUUUUAUAAGACUGAUAAGUCACAGAUCUCUACCUCUGAAACCAAUAAUACAUUAUAUGUUAAUUAAUUGAAUUUAGAUAUGAUAAAGUUUAAAAAAUAUCAAGCAUACCCCUCCCAAAAGAAUAUAUAACUAGUGUGCUGUGGACUGGCCUUUUGAUCACACAGCUCAAACUGUGAACUCCUCUGUUCUACCACUGCAGAAGUUAGCUGAUGAUGUGAUGUUUCCAGAGAGUUACUAUUGCAACCCAGAAGAAAUGCUACUGUGAAAACAUGCUUUGUGUUAGUACUUGGAACUUUUAAGCAGAGGGUGACUGGCCUAUCUUAGGAAUUUUCUGGAGCGCAGCUUCAAUUGAUAGUGGACUAUACCACCUUGGGAAGGCUGAGAAUUCAUUGUUAUGAUUCAGCAGCCUCACUCCCAUCCCACCCCAUACAUAAAAUGCAGAUCUUCCAGGGCAGACCAUGCAAAUGUCCUUUAUUCCCACCAUUUAACCUCAGCCUCUCCCUCAUGACCCAAGAACUGAGAUCUUGCUUGUAAGGACCAUGGUGAAUUACAAGGAACCCUGACUCCAGAGUCAGGAAAUGAGAAGUGGGCUUUAUUCAGGCUGUGUCACUAAUGUGGUGUGCUACUGGGGCAUAUAGCUGGCACCUCUGGGUCCCAGGGUCCUCAUUUGCAGUACAAGGAUGGCUCAUUAGAGAAGUAACAACUCAGUCCUCUUCAAACAAAGCAUCCAUUUCUCAAUUGCAUUGAUUGUUUAGGCCUCUGGGUAAGGAUUUUUAGAGAAGUGAUUCAUUUCAUGUAAAAAAGCUGAAACUCAUUUUUCUAAGUAAUGUUUAAUGCUCCAUCUAUCUUAUGGCUUGGAGCUUGCGUGGCUCCCUAUUGAUAUAAUGCGGAAUUGAAUUUUUGACCUAACAUUCAAUCCUGUCACCAGCAAGCCCCUUACUGAUUUAACUUUAUUUAUCUGUUUUUCUCACUUUAUUCCACUGUCAUCCCCUCUGCUUCCUGUCAGAUUUCUAGCAUUUCUUUCUGCAGCUGCCUUUCUCUUUGCAGGGGGAUGUCACUGGAUCCAGAUGCAGCAAACCUACCACUAAGUCACAGCCAUGUCACUUGCUGGCUUAAUGAUCUCAGCAUCUGUAAAGCCUCAAUUUCUGCAGUAGCACAAUUUGUACAAGAGAAACACAGAUGCAUACCCACAGGAUAAAAGAAGGGACAGAGAGAAAGCAGGCAGAGGGAAGGAGAAAGGGAGAUAGAUGAUAGAGAAGGAAGGAAGGAAAGAAGGAAGGAAAGUGAGAAGUUAAAUUGGUAAAGAGUUCAUCAAGGAAUUUCCUAGUAAAUCUUUGUAGAUACAUUAUCCAUCCCUUGUUGCCUUUGGACACUUUUUAGAAAUCUACACAUUGUAUUUACCAAUUCUCAUUUCUAAGUAGACAUCAUUUAGUUUUCUUUUUUAUAAAUUUGUUUCAGAGGUACUUUUCAAUAAUUCAUCAGUUGUGUAUAACAUUCAUUUAGUUUUGAAAAAUGUCCUCAAAAGCACACAAAAUUACAUCAAGCAAAAUAAUCUAACUCAAGUUAGAACUCAGGUUUCCCACCUCAUGAGUAGAUAAGCAAACAGGUAUCAAGCGUAAAUUAUUGACAUACUUCAAAAGUAAUAGGUAUGUGAUGACUUAUUCUAUGUAAUUAGUUUAAUUAAUGUUAUAUUUCAAAAAUAAUUUCUAAGGCAUAAUUCUAUGCAAUAAUUAAAAUCUACAUAUGAAAUACUUAAACCAAAUAAUAGAGUGAUUAACCAAAUCAUAGAGGUGAUUUGUAGAAUGGAGUUUUUACAUUUGGUCAAGAAUGGAAAGUUGUACGAAUACCUAUCAUUUGCUUUGACUUGAUGAGAUGAGCCCUGGGUGUUAUAUGUUAGCAAAUUGAACUUAGAACAAAAAGGAAAUUAAAAAAAGGAAAGUCAUGUAAAUACAGACUCUAAGUUCAUUUCACCCAAGAUCUUACCAGACUCAAGAUUUGGUCAUGUGAAGUAACUUCAGAGAGUCCAAGAACCAGGUGAAAUUUUUCUAACUUGUUUUUUCUGACUGUGGGGUCAAGCACCACAAGGAACAUAAACAAGGAAAAAGUCAUCCAAUUAUUACAUCUUGAUCAAAUUUGAAGAACUAGGAUUUUUAUUGCUCUCAGAGAGAGAUUUAAAACAGUAAAGACUUAAGUAUUCAUGUUCCUGAGAAGGGAAUAGCCCUUCUGGUUUACCAAGGGAUUUACAUUCCCUCCAAUUAAGGAUGAUUGCUGUAAGAUAUCCAACUCCACUGUUUACCAAAUUAUUCAGGUGUCUCUUUAAAUGCUAAUUGAUUGUAUUCUUAGAUCGAAUAGAAAAGGCUCUCAUUCAUCUUCUUGGAAGUUACAUUAUGAAAUUAAUGUUCUCCUUUUGGCGAUGGACUGGGCUAUAGGAGCGCAAAGUGCCUGUUUGAGCACAGGU
rnacentral:lncRNA from 1 species